rnacentral:rRNA from 1 species
AGAACGAACGCUGGCGGCAGGCCUAACACAUGCAAGUCGAACGCUCGUAGCAAUACGAGAGUGGCAGACGGGUGAGUAACGCGUGGGAACCUUCCCAGUGGUACGGAAUAGCUCAGGGAAACUUGAGGUAAUACCGUAUACGCCCUUCGGGGGAAAGAUUUAUCGCCAUUGGAUGGGCCCGCGUAGGAUUAGCUAGUUGGUGAGGUAACGGCUCACCAAGGCGACGAUCCUUAGCUGGUCUGAGAGGAUGAUCAGCCACACUGGGACUGAGACACGGCCCAGACUCCUACGGGAGGCAGCAGUGGGGAAUAUUGGACAAUGGGCGCAAGCCUGAUCCAGCCAUGCCGCGUGAGUGACGAAGGCCUUAGGUUGUAAAGCUCUUUGGCGGGGAAGAUAAUGACGGUACCGCAGAAUAAGCUCGGCUAACUCGUGCCAGCAGCCGC